AGGCGCCAAUGUGGCCCAGACUGCUGUUUCCUGCUUCCUGGCGGUUUGUGUAGGAGGAGCAGGAUGCGGACAGGAAGGGACAGCGCAGGCUGGUGCCACCGCUCACUUGCGAAGCCCUCCCUCUGCCCGCUGCUCGGGGCUUUCUUGGCUGGGUCUGCUCCCGACAGAAGGAACGCGUGUUGCGGGGGUGGGGGCCCAGCAUGUGUGUGUGUGAGACUGUGUGUGUGUGUGUGUUCAAAAUACAAAAAACAGAAACGUGGCUACAUCAGCUGCAGAGGCGGGCCGGCUCCAUCCCUGCCAAGUUCCCUCUGCACAGCACACGGGGCUCCAGAGGCCCGGGGAGCAGACGAGGUGAGGGCGGUGUGGAGAGCAGUGGACACCAGGCUGCCAGGGACCAGAGCCACAGACAGCACUGUGGCGAUUGCUGGAGCCACUGGAGCCACGUCGGGAGGUGGCAGCGUGCGGCCAAGGGCAGGGCCAGGAGCUGGAGAGGAGCGGCAGGCACAGUGCCUGCCUCCUGUGCUGGCGUCCGCUCCCAGGAGACUCCCGCCAGAUGUUCCGGGCCCCACGUUACUCCCUGAUGAAAUAUUCAUAGAGACUUCUGCCUUCUGACACAAAGCCUUCUGCAGCUUCCCUGGUUCCUGCUCCCAGCACCCCAGCCACAUCGCCAUUCGGCCCUCGCCUGCGAUGGACAGGUGGUGCUUCUGCACGCCUGGGGGUCACGCCAGGCCACACUGCUGGCUCUGGGGGUGAGGGGAGCACAGGGUUGUGUCCCGGUGCCCAAGAGGGCCAGAGUGUCCCCUGGCCCACCCCGGCUGCAGGGGCUCCCUCCCAACCCCAGUGCCCAUCUGGCUGCCCAGGAGGACUGGGCCUGGCCUGCGCUGGCACUUCCGGUGGCCUUCACAUCCAGCCUGAGUUUCCAGACACACAGGGGCUGAGCCCAGACUGCCUGCCCCUGGCACCCCAGCUCUCCUGAGGCCAGAUCUCGACUCAGCCACUGUCAGCAGCGACUCAGGGGCCCAGGCCUGAGAAGCACCCACUGCACUCCUGCUCCAAAUGGCUAUGCCCCAGAUGGAUGACAAGGUCCUGCUGUCCCCACUGGGGGGGCUUGGGACGGCCAACUCACUGCAGCGACAGCCACCCAUCUUGCUCUGGGCUGGGUCUUCAGCAGUCCCUGACUCUGAUGACUGUCACUACAGCAACAAGGCUGAGAAGUUUCACCCUGCCAGUCACUGGACCAAGCUAGGAGCUGUGCCAGGUGGCCCCGUCCAGUCCUGGGGUAGACGGCUCAGAGAGGUCACACUGCUCCCCAAGGCCACAGAGUGGCAGGGGCAGAGCCCGGGAUGGAGUUCUGAGUGUCCUGGAGCCCUGGCCUCGGGGCCGGACCCCUCCCGGACCUCCUCACCCUGAGGCCCUCCCCACAGGGCGGUGACAUGAGUGACCCGGUGGGUGCAGGGCUGUGUCGCCGCGUCACGCUCUCCCACACUGCUGAGGGAGCCGUGAUAAGCUGUGCGUGUGGUGUAGGACUAAUGUGCUCUGCAGAACAAAUGGUGUUCAUUUGCAGCACAGCCCGGCGCCCAAGGGCGGCCACGGCAGCUGCACCAGAAUUAACGGCCUCACGCAGAAUUAUCGAGCCAGGUGUCGCCAUCAGAGGGUCAAAGCACUGGUCCCAGGCCCCGAGGCUGCGCACCCCAGGGAGGAGGCCGGUCGAGGAAGGUUUCAGGGACCCUCUCCGCUCCCGGGGUUUCUGUGCACAGUGGGCACUGCACACUGCCUACCCGGGGGUCGCCCAUCCGGAAAGGGGCCAUUGCCGAUCAGCUGCCACCAACAUGCGACUGGGGCCAGACCUGCCCAGCUCACAAGGGCCUGGGGACCCUGGACGUCCAUGUCCUUCCUUCCCGCCCAGGGUCACACUCUGGCUCCCAACCCCGCUCACACGGGGCCUAAUUAACCUGUCCGCCUCUCUCCUGCCUAUUACUUGCUGUCGCUGCCCAGAGCUGGCGGUCCCUAUCGAUUGCUCCAAGAUGCGUGGCUCCAGCGAUCUGUCCCGCUGAGGAGCGUCUGCCCAGGUCUGAGGAGUGAGCUGCAUUUGCAUGCUGCCGCUCCAGGGUGACUCCAGGAACCCCAGCAUCUGACGAACCCUGCACAUUGCCACCCACCUACGCUGUUCGCUGACCCUGCAGGCUGCAGAGCUCCCUCUCCUCUCUGGAAAGCUGAGUGUCCAGCAGGAAGCGGAGGUCUGGACCAAGGCGCCUGUGCCGGGCAGGGGUGGGGGCGUCGCCUGUGGGUAGAAGGGUCACACGAGAACCUCUUCCCUUGGGGACACACUCAAUUCCCCCUCACAGGUCAGUGCUGGGCACACACAGGUCUUCAGUGGGCACUUCUGGAGCCAUGGUGGACAGACCCUGGGCUUAGCAUCUCAAAUCUUUAGCCAUGGGCCUCUGAGAGCAUCUGGUACAACACCCUCAAGUAUAAAUGAGGAACUCAAGGCCAGCAGAGAGGGUGCAACCGAACCAAUCACAGCCCUGGGCCUUGGCUGCAUGGGCAUGCAUCAGAGGCCAGUCCAUGUCUUCUAGCGGGGACUCUGGGGUCUGCGAUACUCUGUGACUGCACCUCAACUUGCCUCCUGGCAAGGGCUUCUAUAGAGAGCAUACUGUGAGGCUAUAGCCCAGCUGCCUCAAGUCCUCCGGUAAUGAUAGCCCAGGAGAGGUGGGACUCUCUGCUUGCUGCAAUCUCCUCGGUUGUCCUGACAACACACACAUCGUCUGGAAGCCCCGGGAUUGCUCUGUGCCACACCACUCAGGCGUGACUACCACAUUGCUGGCCCUGGCCGCAGCACACAAAGUAGCCUCUCGACCUCCUGCGAGGGCUCCUUCUUCAGCCUUUACCCCUCCCUGGAAAGUGUGUCCUUUAUGGGACAGGAAGCAGUAAAAGAUGGGCUAUGAACUUGGGAGUUGGGUGUUCAAACGACUUGGGUUCAAGUCAUCUCUGUCACUACUUAGGAUCUCUGUAUCUCUGUAAUUAGACGAAGCAAGGGUGAUAGCAGUAAUACAACAAGAGUGAGAAGGUGUGCAGAGUAGUCUGCACAAUGUUUAGCACAACAUAAGUGAGCAGAAAAUGCCAAGGCUUGUGACGAUGGUGAUAGUGAUAGUGAAAAUGGUGGCAACUAACAUGGUGCUGUUGCUCACACUACGAAUAGAUUUGCGUUGGAAUUCUUCCAGGACUUCCCACACUCUUGGGCUCACAGUGCAGAGAGGAGCCUCUCUCUCUGUGGUUACAAACUAGCGUGUCCAGCAGAAGGCCAGCUGCCUCACCAGUCCCUUCACUGGCUUCCCAAUGGACAGACCUCGAAGUGUCCAGGCCAGAGGCCACAGUGCUGCGAAGGCUCCAGGGCAGCGCUGUCCUGCAAGAGCCAGAGACAAGCUGGACAGGCACCGCAGAGUCGGAGUCCCGCCAUCUGCGUGCACUCGAGCAAAGGCAGCCUCACAAGGCCUCCUCAGAAAAGGACCCAGGAAGCCAGGGGAAGACACAGAGAGCCGGACUCGGGGUCGGUCCAAACGGCCCUGAGGUGGGGAAGGAAAGGGCAUGCAGGGCAGGGUCCCUGCUGAGCAGGCCGAGGCUGGUCGCGGGCACAGGCUGGGCUCACCGGUGGAUGAGGAGCGAGACCUGGGGUGGGAGGCAUUCCGGGCUGAACCUGUCCUUAGCUUUGUGGAUCGGAACUCCUGAACCCGCUGCUCUGUCUGUUCCUGGUACCAUGCUGCUAGUCUCUAUUCCUCCUGCUCAUAUGUCCACUUUACUGAGAAAUUCAACUGAAAAAUAAAUUUUGAGUCAGG